GCGUCCGUAGCUCAGCGGAAUAGAGUACUUGAUUACGAAUCAAGUGGUCGGGGGUUCAAAUCCUCUCGGGCGUG
rnacentral:tRNA from 1 species